AUUUCAGACCGUCCCUGAUUGGAGAGGGGUGUGUGCACUGUCGAAACCUCAUAGCUUCCAGUCUGCAGAGUAGGGGCUUUCAAAAUGUGGUCUGCAGACCCACAGCAUCACCUGGGAACUUGUUAGACACGUCAAUCUCACCGCACCCCAGACCUACACCAGGGGGUGGGGCCAGCAGUCUGUUUUAAGAAGCCCUCCAGGUGGUUCUGAUGCGUGUUAGCGUUUGAGAACCACUGCCCUAGGUAACAGUCAUGACUGCAAACUAGUACUGAGAACUCGCUCCACACCAGAUCUGAACCCUUCCUCUGGGAGUCCCUACCAGCCUUCACUUCACAUAGACGCUAUUGGAGAUCGAUGCCCUGAAUGAGCUAAUGAACACACGAAUGGUAACCUGGAAGGUUGGUGGUCCACUUAAUGCUUAAUGCCGGCUUUUCUCUACCUGAUAAUGGAGGGUUAUAAUGGAAAUGCGGCCAGAUCCAUCAGCUGUAACGUGGUGAACAUCACCAUUAUGAUACAGCUGGUGACGGGUACCUGAAGCCCGUGGGAUGACUCCUGACCGAACAGAAGAAGCAAUUUUGAGGGGGCGAUAAAGCACGCGACGCUUAAGGACUGGGUGGUCCUCGCGACAGAAUAGCUGAAGAGUUACGAGAAAGAAGCGGGGCCACAAUCGUUAUUUCUUUCAAAGUGGCUCUAAACAGUCCUAAUAAUGUGGUAUCUGAACUUUUAAUGACACGGAAAAAAAAAAAAAAAGAGGGCUUUCGGUAGUCACAAAUGUUUGCGAAAGCACACGGAGACAAAAUCCCGGAGAACUUGCUUCAAAAUAACCUGCCAGGCAAACAUUUGCCAAAUGUACUAAUUAGUCACAUUUACGACAACACUGUCUGGCUAAGAAAUGGGAUGGGGACUUUUGAGAUGAUGGAAUGGGUGAUAUACAAAUAUUUUGGGCGAGGCAUAAUCAGUUAAUUGGUUUAUUAAAUUAUAAAACCAUUGUUUGCCCGAAAGAGCAAUAAAACUAACUAAAUGG